rnacentral:tRNA from 2 species
GGAGAGGUGACCGAGUGGCGAAGGAGCCUGUUUGGAACACAGGUGGGCAUAAAUGCCUCGCGGGUUCGAAUCCCGUCCUCUCCGCAA